CUGGUUACACAACACAUCCCCAUCAGCUGCAGCUGGGGCUAGCUUUACCAAAGACAGUACAGUGGCAUUACUUUAUUUCUUAGUUUUGUUUAAUACAGGAGGACAAACAACUAUUGACACUUUAUGUUUCAAUAAUUAGCUAAGCAUGAAAAAAGAGAAACCCUGAUUUGCAUCCUUGUUGUAAAUUCGGAAGAAUUCUAAUAAUAGAGUAUGUUUCCAUGAUGCUAAUUUUACAAGAAUGCUGGAGUGGACUUCAAACGUAAAUACUUGUUGAUAUGAUACCCCAUAGCUAUUGCAUUUUUAACUAUUACAGAGAAAGAUGAGGACCAUAACUUCCUCGGGUGGCAAAGUUCAGACUGACUGAGGAGAACAGAGUCAUUGGAUGCACACGAGAUCAAUAGCCUGAUCAGUCCUGCCACAGUACAUAUUUGGAAGAGUAAACGUCAUUCAUCUACUCCUGUGAACACAAUUUUCCUGCACCUCUUCACAGCACAGCCGAUCUUCUCCAGCGGGAGUACCAAAGAGAUUGGAGAUGAUUAAUGUUUUCAAUGUCUGGUAUGAAAUCAGCAAAAAACAGAGUGGCAGAGUGAACAGCACUAACGAGUGAUGGAAUGGCAUUGCUCAUAAUCAUGUAACAGGCCCUUUCAUAACAUAGGCUCAAAAAUAUAACAUGUUAAACUUUUCCAUAAUAUAAUAAGACUAGGGGUGGGUUGCACCAACAUGGUUUAAAUUAAUCUAGGAUUAGAGCUAAUCUAGGUUUUGUAAAUCUAGGUUUAUAAUUAAUCAGAGAUGUGUUGCACCACUUAAUUUUAAAUCUGGAUCAGUAAAUCUAUGAUUAACGGGUUUAAACUAUGAUUAGUGACAUUUUUACACCAAUAUAUGAGGUAUUUCGUGAGUUGAAACGAAGUAGCUAGCCUAUUUGACAAAUGAUGCCACAAAGUUGCUGUUCCUUGAUAAAAUAAUAACAAUGUAACGUUAGAACUACUGCAACUCCAUCAUGAAAGGUUCUCAUGGGUUGGCUGAUUUGAAAUAAAAUCCGUUAUUUACCCUACCAGUUCUAGACAGAAAACUAAUUUGUUAGCUAAUGUUAGUUACUGUAGCUAGCUAGUUUAUAAACCAAGCUAGCUAGCAUAAAAUAUAAUGUAUUAUUGUCAUUACUUAGCGUUAUUUAGCCAUUUAUUAUUUGUCCGCUAGCCACGUGAUCAUGGCACGUCAAAGAUUUUCAAAUUUCUCCGCUUAUGAAAAUAACCUCUUGUCGGAGUUGAUGGAGGAAUUUAGUAACGUACUGGAGGAUAAUAAGACAGACAACACGACUGUCAAAAAGAAGGAAGACACCUGGGCCAUUUUAUUCGGCAGAUUUAAUGGAUCGACACAGAUUAAAGAGAAGAGGGGCCCAAAUCGGAUGAAGGCGUGCUGGAAAAACUUAAAUGCGAAAGCCAAAAAGGAUGCUGCAGAGGAGAGGCGGGGGCUAUUUCAGACCGGAGGAGGGCCUCCGUCCAAGGGAAUUGAUCCUCUCCCAGAAAAUAUGUGAGAUGAUUCCCCAGCAGUUUACCCCUCUCCUUAACCCCUAUGAUGACGACAAACAACUCGACCCACCAAUAUUGAUUGAAUUGAUACCUUGUGCCAUGGAGAAACAGCAGUGCCUGGAACUUGCACCAGCAGCAAAAAUACCAGACAGGCCAAGCAAACGCCCCAGAACUGACAUGAACCAAGCUCAUAUUUAUGUUUUGGUGCUGGAGAGAGAGAAGAAUCUACUGCAGAUUGAGGUCUUGAAUUUACAAAAAGAGCUACUGCAAAUUCAGAAACUGAAACUCCUUCAGGGAAACAAAUGCCCACUGAGUAAAGAAUGCUGAUCUUUUUAUUUAUUUAAGCAAUUUGGUGUCCUCCAGUCUUCUUCCCACUCUUCUGUUCUGGUGCUUCCAAUUCCAUCCUGUAUGGUAUUGAGAAUA